CCCAGUCGUGGGGGAUAACUACUCGAAAGAGUAGCUAAUACCGCAUACGAUCUGAGGAUGAAAGCGGGGGACCUUCGGGCCUCGCGCGAUUGGAGCGGCCGAUGGCAGAUUAGGUAGUUGGUGGGAUAAAAGCUUACCAAGCCGACGAUCUGUAGCUGGUCUGAGAGGACGACCAGCCACACUGGGACUGAGACACGGCCCAGACUCCUACGGGAGGCAGCAGUGGGGAAUUUUGGACAAUGGGCGAAAGCCUGAUCCAGCAAUGCCGCGUGCAGGAUGAAGGCCUUCGGGUUGUAAACUGCUUUUGUACGGAACGAAAAAGCUUCUCCUAAUACGAGAGGCCCAUGACGGUACCGUAAGAAUAAGCACCGGCUAACUACGUGCCAGCAGCCGCGGUAAUACGUAGGGUGCGAGCGUUAAUCGGAAUUACUGGGCGUAAAGCGUGCGCAGGCGGUUAUGUAAGACAGAUGUGAAAUCCCCGGGCUCAACCUGGGAACUGCAUUUGUGACUGCAUGGCUAGAGUACGGUAGAGGGGGAUGGAAUUCCGCGUGUAGCAGUGAAAUGCGUAGAUAUGCGGAGGAACACCGAUGGCGAAGGCAAUCCCCUGGACCUGUACUGACGCUCAUGCACGAAAG
rnacentral:rRNA from 1 species